rfam:Clostridium sp. BL8 Contig193, whole genome shotgun sequence.
UCAGGGUCAAGACACCACCCUUUCACGGUGGUAACAGGGGUUCGAUUCCCCUAGGAGUCA